GACGAACGCUGGCGGCGUGCUUAACACAUGCAAGUCGAACGCUGAAGCUCAGCUUUUGUUGGGUGGAUGAGUGGCGAACGGGUGAGUAACACGUGAGUAACCUGCCCCCUUCUUUGGGAUAACGCCCGGAAACGGGUGCUAAUACUGGAUAUUCACUGGUCUUCGCAUGGGGGUUGGUGGAAAGGGUUUUUCUGGUGGGGGAUGGGCUCGCGGCCUAUCAGCUUGUUGGUGGGGUGAUGGCCUACCAAGGCUUUGACGGGUAGCCAGCCUGAGAGGGUGACCGGUCACAUUGGGACUGAGAUACGGCCCAGACUCCUACGGGAGGCAGCAGUGGGGAAUAUUGCACAAUGGGCGCAAGCCUGAUGCAGCGACGCCGCGUGAGGGAUGGAGGCCUUCGGGUUGUGAACCUCUUUCGCUCAUGGUCAAGCCGCAACAAUGGUUGUGGUGAGGGUAGUGGGUAAAGAAGCGCCGGCUAACUACGUG
rnacentral:rRNA from 1 species